AUUGAACGCUGGCGGCAUGCUUUACACAUGCAAGUCGAACGGUAUCAGGCCGCAAGGUGCUGACGAGUGGCUAACGGGUGCGUAAUGCAUCGGAACGUGCCCAGUCGUGGGGGUUAACUACUCGAAAGAGUAGCUAAUACCGCAUACGAUCUCUGGCUGAAAGCGGGGGACCGUAAGGCCUCGCGCGAUUGGAGCGGCCGAUGUCAGAUUAGGUAGUUGGUGGGGUAAAGGCUCACCAAGCCAACGAUCUGUAGCUGGUCUGAGAGGACGACCAGCCACACUGGGACUGAGACACGGCCCAGACUCCUACGGGAGGCAGCAGUGGGGAAUAUUGGACAAUGGGCGCAAGCCUGAUCCAGCAAUGCCGCGUGCAGGAAGAAGGCCUUCGGGUUGUAAACUGCUUUUGUACGGAACGAAACGGCUCUGGUUAAUACCCGGGGCUAAUGACGGUACCGAAAGAAUAAGCACCGGCUAACUACGUG
rnacentral:rRNA from 1 species